AAGGGUCAGCCAAGCUCCUAGAGCUAGUCCAGCCGAGUAGGUCUAUUCCCAUGCGACUGUCAAUUCGACUGUUAUUCCUUGAGACUCUUCCUCGAAAGCUGCGCUCGGGAAAAGGACAAUUGACGGGGCGACUCAGCCCUUGCUAGUCUGUUUCCACUCUCCGUAGUGUAGAGACAGCAAUGCAGAAAUUUGUGGAUAUGUUUGCCGAUGGCUUGACCAAAUAAAACAUUGAAACAUUUGAAGAUCCGCAGCGUUUAGGUGUUGAUUAAUUUCGACAAGCCAAUCGUCUGUAGUCUUCUCCAAGGAACAUGACUUUAGUCUUGUGGAUUACGCAUUUACUUGCGACCCAUCUAGUCUAGAGGAUUGUCUCCAGAGCAAAGCAAAACCGGCAAUAAGGAAGUCUUACUUGCUAGAUCCACCAGUAUGGUCAUGACAGGUUGUCUCGUACAACUGAGCUCUGGCUGUAUGGGAGAUAGUAAAGGAGACGAUCUACAACUUUUGUGUAACAAACACUUUGAACAUGGGCCCAACUUCGGUUGACGUCCGGUUCGUUGGCUUGUGAAGUACUCCUUCGGGUGUAUGGAACUUGCCUCCGUGAUAGUUACCUGGUUGAUUCUGCCAGU
rnacentral:misc_RNA from 1 species